UUCGGAGGGUUCGACUCCUCUGCAAUUUCGCUACUGCUGAAUUUAUCAAAAUUGAUGGUACCUGUUUGAAUCUUCAUUGGAGUUGGUCAUAUGCUCCACUAGACCUUGCACAAAUUCAGUAUAGGAGUUGUCUUGUUGCCUUCAGAACAUGAACAGAAUCAGACCACAUGUUAGAUCCCUAGAGAUUGAUCCGCUUCUUUUUUGUUGCUAGGAGAAUGGCAAAGGGGAGAUCAACAACACCACUUACAAAUCAGCGACAGGAGGACGAUCAGAGAUAGACAAAAGGGAGAUCUCUAUGCCAACGUGUGUUCUGGUUACAAGGAGGACGAAGACGGGCGGCGCGAAGGCAUGGAGAUAUUUGGCGCCAACCUGCGUUCUGUUUAGCGCCAACUUGCCGUACGAGUUUUUUUAGGGGAUCUGCCGUAGGAGAUUUUGCAGCCAACAGUUCAGGUGUUUGUUGUCAUUUAUUAUAAAAGAAUUAAAGGAGGAAAUAAGAGCGGUCAGAUUGAAAUUAACGGUUGAUGUACACCGGUGCUGUAAUAGCUGCACUGCAGAGGAGCCGGACCCGCGACCGGCGCGUCGGUUCGGCCGGCGCGCUGGUUGGAAACGAUUCCCUUCGGUUAUGCAAUGGAAUAAAAGGAAAGAAAGAAAAGAUGCACGAUUUAAGGGUCGCAAAAGAUCCUUCUCUCCUGACGGCGUCUCUCUUCUCUUCUCUGUUUUCCUUUAGCCUGUUUUCCUUUAGCCUCGUGCGUGCGUUGUGUUUUUCAGAGAAAAGUUCAGGGGAGAAAGGGUAG
rnacentral:lncRNA from 1 species